ensembl:snRNA
AUGUUGUAUGAAAGAAAGUGAAGAUUAGCACUCCCCUUGACAAGGAGGGAAGAGGUCCUCGGGCCUGACAACACACAUAUGGUUAAGGCAUUGCCACCUACUUACUUCAUGGCAUCUAACCAUCAUUUUUU